rnacentral:rRNA from 1 species
UACGUAGGGCGCAAGCGUUGUCCGGAAUUAUUGGGCGUAAAGAGCUCGUAGGCGGCCUGUCGCGUCCGCUGUGAAAUCCCAGGGCUUAACCCUGGGCGUGCAGUGGAUACGGGCAGACUAGAGGUAGGUAGGGGAGAAUGGAAUUCCCGGUGUAGCGGUGAAAUGCGCAGAUAUCGGGAGGAACACCGGUGGCGAAGGCGGUUCUCUGGGCCUUACCUGACGCUGAGGAGCGAAAGCGUGGGGAGCGAACAGG